CACCACUCCUAAUCCCUACACUCU
rnacentral:siRNA from 1 species